rnacentral:lncRNA from 1 species
UAAGUUGAAGUCAUUAAGUUUCUGUUGGGGAGUUGUAAGGCUAAUUUAUACUUGGGUGCUCGGUGAUGUCUGGACCAUACACAAGCUAAGGCUUUAGAUUCUCCAAAAUACUGCUAAAACUAGUAGUUUCCAAGAAUUGGUCAGAUAAGACCUAAUCACUGAUUCAAAACCAUCCUACCUUGCAGGAUUUCGAGAGUUGUGGAUGUUUACUUUAAUACCUCAUGGGCUUUAUCUGUAAUAUUCCAGUUUACUCGAAUUUUUACAACGACGGCUUUCACACUAUCGUCUUUUUCAAGGUCAAUAUUAUUUUCUCUUUUUCUC